AAACAAAAAGAGAGGGACAGAACUACAAUUCCUAUCUUUGCCAAAUAACCCCCACCCCCAGGCAAUGUUAUGAGGACAUUUUUAAUAACAGAGAAAGGCAAGUCAUAGGUGGACACAACCACCUUUGUGUUUUGCAAAACAACUCAACUUGGCAUUUAAUGGAGGCCGACUUAAUGGUAAGAGAAUGGGGGUUGCCUUCUAUACUGAAACUCUUCCAUAGAACCUUGCCUAAAAUUAUGUCUUGAGUUUGCAAAACAUGUGUUACAUUUAAACAGCACACAGAAACCAGUCUGGGCAGCGAGCAGGGUUAAGGUCACAGUUUCUUUUCGUCCCCUAAGCCCAGGGUCCUGCACAUUCUACUACCAAAAUCUGAGGUGUUUGGUGGUCCGCACCCUGGUGUUAAACUUGGAAGUAUAGAAAAUAAUAUGGCAGCAUGCCAGGUGUAGGCCCUCUCUUAAGCCGUAAUGGCGGCUCCCAGAUUUGAGUAAGCUGUUGACCACCUGGAACUAAUGAGCUCUUUAUUACCAGGAAAUAUUGGUACAGUGAUUGUCAACACUGCAAAUUCUGCCAUGGAUGGAUGGGUGGGAGAAAAUGAAGGCAAACACCCAAUACCCGUCACAAUUUUAUAGAGGAAAAACCUUAUUUCUGACACCUUUUUCCCUCUUCGAGAAUGACUGAAAAAAACACAUUUCAGAAGACACAGCUGAAAAACCACUGUUCUCAUGCCCUAACCCCUGAUCUGACAGAUGGGGAUUCUGGAAGUCUCUAGCUCCCCUGAGUCUCCUUUCACCCUGAGCGUUUCUGCUGUUGCUCCAAUGUCAGAGCUGACUCUUCCUGUGGAGAUAUCUGCCUGGAGACUAGGCAGGUGAAUACCUGCAUCGUCUGACUUCCUCCACCAGCCUCAGAAACUCUGCUACUGGGCUCAAUGUUGGUUACCAAAGAGACGGUUGGUUACCGUCCUCAUUCACGGAAAAAAAAAAAAAGCUCAUCUUUGUUUUCCCCACUACGCAUUUGAAAACUGUUGGAAAGAACGAUUUUAAUCCCUCAAAAAUGUGUGGCAUGGAGUUGUCAUCCUUAAACUCAGGAGGAAUCCCUCGCCUUAACCCUUCUAGAUUUUUCUAUGUUCUUCCUGCAGUUCUCACAUUCAAAUCAAAGUACAGAGCCAUGCAGAACCAUGCAACUCCAAACUUGGAGGGCGGUGAUGGUUGAGAAUCGAAUACAAACUUUCCCUGAAAGAUUGUACACUUCCUAGUGGUAUGAGUUCAGGGUGGUAAGUAGUGCUAAUCUUCCCCAUGUGCCUCACAGAUAAAUCUCUGACAGACUUAGGUUUUUGGUCCUCCUCUUAUCUCCCCCCUACCCCAUCCUCUCCCUCCAGCUACUUUCAUGAUAGCUCCUGUAAAAGAAGGGAUGUGGCUCUCUCUGCUCUCUCUAUAGCAUGUAUGAACCCAGGUCAAAGCGGAGUUAUGAUCUGGUACUUUCAUUUCAGGAAUUACAUCCUUCAUAUACACCAUGAGAUAUUUGAAGAAAUAUUUGUACACUUGUGUUCACUGCAGCAAGAUUGACAAUGGCCGAGAGGCUGAAGGCACCCAACUGGCCAUCAGCAGAUGAUGCAUAAGUAAUACAUGCCGUGUAGACAACGGUGUGUGUUUUGUCCUUAAAAACACCAAAGAACUGACAUAACAACACGGAAGAAAGUCAGCUACUUAUGAAGGACAGUACAGCAGGGAAUAAAUUCAUCCUUGUAAUGGAUCCCAGGUUCCUGUGGUAGAUCUGGCGAGGGUGGAGACAUUGAGCAUAAGGCCGGAGAUUUUGCUGAAAACCAGUUGAUCUACGUGGGGAGAAUGUACUCUGAUCAGACAUCUUUGAAUUCAUCCAGGAAACCAAUGGACGGACAAGUCAUGCUCUGAAUGAGUCACUUUUAAUUUGCUGAGAUAAAACAAUAUGCCCAAUGCAAUGUACCAAAAGAUGGCCUUAUCUGGCCCUUGUGGUUUCAGAGUGUUAGAGUCUAUGAUGGCGGAGCAGAGGAGGCAGGGGGAAGACUGCAAUAGCUGACAGAACCACAAUCAGGAGAGAGAGGCACACAGGGGAUGGCUGGAGGGUUUUCAGUCCUCAAGAAUACCUGCCACGACAUCUCAGAACCGUGCCUAAGAUUUAUGGGGGCCAUAUCAUUUAAACCACUACACUCUGCAGAGGGUAAUUCCAAACUAAGUGGAUCCUAGAGGUCAGCAUCUAACAAGAUCUUAAGGAUUUGUUUUCUAGGAAAGUGAGCACGCUGUUGCCAUGCAUUAUGAGUCACUUCUUCUGCCUCCGUCAGCUUCAUUUGUGCAUGUAUAAACGCCUCUAAACUGAUGUGUCUUUGUGGCUACUUCUUAAUUAUAGCAAAGGGAUUCAUACAGACAACUUAGGAUCUACUGGGAGAGAACUCUAUUAGAUGACUCAUCUCUGAAGCAAGGAGAAAGAAAAGCAAAAAGGAAUACAGACUAAGGAUAUGGAGGACUGCAAUGUAGCCCUGGCCUCUCAAGACCUCUAGGCAGGGACAACUCUAUUAGAUGAUCCAUCCCUGAAGAAAAUGAGAACGAGAAGCAAAAAGAAAUACAGACUAAGGAUGUGGAGGACUGCAAUGUAGCCCCAGUCUCUCAAGACCUCUAGGCAGGGACACUUCUGCACACAUUGCCUGAUCUUAGCAGCUGUCCAUAAUCCUGGAGGAAAAUUCUACAGCUCCUUGAUGGCCCAAGGGCCAUAACCAUGCAGACAACAUGGCCAAGAUCAGCCGCUCACUUAGGAUGAAGCCUGGCCUCCUUGAAACACAUUUAUAUAACCUUAGAUUUGUUGUUGCUUUUAGGGGCAGAAAAUGCGUUAAGCCUCACCUUCCCCAAGCACAGAAAGCAAAAGUUAGUCAGGGAAUAAAGCCCUUUGCUUUUUCUAACAUCAGACUCUCUGUUCGGAAGAUUCCUCCCACCCUAUCUUUUUGAUGAGCCAUGUGAUUUUCUCAGACUUAAUAAAAUAAAGCAUGUUUUCCUAGAAAUCCUUUUCCCUUUCCAAAUACUUAAUUUUCUUGAAUUCUGUGCCAUAAAAUAUAGCAUUUAUUUAAUUUUGAUCUGUUUUAUAUUUUAAGCACGAAGAAUAGUUUUAUGCACAUAAGACUUGCCCAGUCAACAAGACGGAGAAAGCCAUUUAUAGUCUCCUCCGUGGAUUCUACCUAGCACCUUAAAUAGGUAUAACCUGAGUUGCACAGCUCUAUCCUCCAAUUUCCUGAGUUCAGAUGUUACAUGCUUGCAAAAGAUUGUCACAGAGGACUUGCUGGAUUGUUGAUGCCUCCUUCUAGAAGGCAGGUGGGAAGUCACUGGACUCUCAUCUGAGUAUCCAGCUAAUCUCUCAGUCAUUCAUGUGUAAUUCUCUAAUUACACAUGAUCUCCAGGUCUCUAGGCUGGAAAAGACUGAAGGAUGUGGAAGCUCCGUGUGCCCAGAUGUGGGGAAGCCAUCGUGCUGGAUGCCGACUUUUCAGUGUGCCUGUUUUGUGGUCACCAGUGCCCUGUAAGUACAUCUAAUAAAUUCGUUUGUUCCCCAGGAGACUUUGACUGAAAUCAAACUUGACAGUUUUUAUUGAGACCUUAGGAGUAUAGACAUUGCCCAGAAAGAAAAUUUUUACAACAGCAUACAAUAACGAUCACCCUUCAUUAUUAAAAAUAA
rnacentral:sRNA from 1 species